GGAGAGUUGCCCGAGUGGUUUAAGGGGGGAGAUUGCUAAUCUUCUGGUGUCUAAAAAACGCCACACAGGUUCGAAUCCUGUACUCUCCG
rnacentral:tRNA from 1 species